CAAACUUAAAUAUACAAUAUGAGCUAUGAGUUUUAAUACAAAUUUUGUCUUCUAGACAGUAUUAAAACUCAAAAUAAAUCCUCAAUACAUUUAUUAACACACUAUUUCAUAGAAUAGUGAGGACUACUAAUGCUAUUGUCUAGACCAUCACUAUGUUCCCCGGCUAGUCCCUGCUACGUUCUCAUUUUCUGAAGAGAACAAUGAAAGUAAAUGGGUGAGCUCAACUAGACCAGUAAGAAAUAUUAUGACUAAGAUAAUGCAGAAUAAAUUAUCAUUAGCCUUCAACAAUGUUAAACUGAUAAAAUACAAUAGACAUCAAGUUUAACUGCAGCGGAACAAGCAAUCCAUUAAAAGAGUCAAGUAG
rnacentral:lncRNA from 1 species